rnacentral:lncRNA from 1 species
GGAAAAAUAGCUUGGAGUUUAAUCUGGUUAUAUGUAAUAAAUUUCUGAAGUAGUAGAGCAGCUGCUGUUCUCCGAGUACGAGGAAAGGAAGGGAAGAGGUUGGCAGAAGGAUCUAGAGAGAAAAGACAGUUUUUAAAGGAAAGCCUGGGAUUCACAGACAACAUGAGGAAAAACUUGCACAAUAUCUUUGAAUGCAAUGUAUGCAGUUCUUUUCUAGAACAUCAGGCAACCUUGAAAAUGCCACAGAACUUAUGAAUAUAAGAUCUUGAGGGUAAAAUAAGAAAUAAAAACAAAAACGGAACAAAACCCAAGGCAGUGUGGUGUAAAUCUUUCUCAGUUACUGUUUUCUCUGUCACAGUGGUAAAUUAAGACUGUGUUGCUAACGACACAUUCGUUUGAUGUAUUGUUCCUAACUUCAG